UGCAAGAAUGUCUCCUAGAUCACUCCAAACAGAGCCACUGCUGAUUUCUUCAACAAAAGUGCUUCUCUUUGGGGUUGUCUAGGAUG
rnacentral:sRNA from 1 species